rnacentral:rRNA from 1 species
UGCCAGCCUCCGCUGUACUCCUUAGUGUGCAAGCGUUAAUCGGAAUUACUGGGCGUAAAGCGUGCGCAGGCAGUUUUAUAAGUCAGAUGUGAAAUCCCCGAGCUCAACUUGGGAACUGCGUUUGAAACUGUAAGACUAGAGUGUGUCAGAGGGGGGUAGAAUUCCAAGUGUAGCAGUGAAAUGCGUAGAGAUUUGGAGGAAUACCAAUGGCGAAGGCAGCCCCCUGGGAUAACACUGACGCUCAUGCACGAAAGCGGGGGGAGCAAACAGGAGGAGAUA